rnacentral:rRNA from 1 species
AUUGAACGCUGGCGGCAUGCUUUACACAUGCAAGUCGGACGAGUGGCGAACGGGUGAGUAACGCAUCGGAACGUACCGAGUAAUGGGGGAUAACUGUCCGAAAGGACAGCUAAUACCGCAUAUUAUUCGAGCGGCCGAGGUUUGAUUAGCUGGUUGGCGGGGUAACGGCCCACCAAGGCGACGAUGAGUAGCGGGUCUGAGAGGAUGAUCGGCCACACUGGGACUGAGACACGGCCCAGACUCCUACGGGAGGCAGCAGUGGGGAAUCUUGGACAAUGGGCGCAAGCCUGAUCCAGCCACGCCGCGUGUGUGAAGAAGGCUUUCGGGUUGUAAAGCACUUUUGUCAGGGAAGCGGUACCGGAAGAAAAAGCACCGGCUAACUACGUGCCAGCCGCCGCGGUAAUAC